AUGGAUGUUAAGACGGCUUCCCUAAACGGAGAGCUAAAGGAGGAAAUCUAUAUGCAACAGCCUGAUGGCUUUGUGAUGGAUGGUCAGGAAGGAAAGGUCUGUAAGUUGGUGAAAUCUUUAUAUGGCCUGAGACAAGCGCCUAAGCAAUGGCAUGACAAGUUUAAUGAAAUGUUGACAUCUGUUGGCUUUGUUGUUAAUGAGGCUGACAAAUGUGUUUACUAUCGCUAUGGUGGGGGCGAAGGAGUUAUACUGUGUUUGUAUGUUGAUGACAUACUGAUAUUUGAGACUAAUCUCAAGUUGAUCGAGGAGGUUAAGUCUUUCCUAUCUCAGAACUUUGAGAUGAAGGACCUUGGAGUGGCUGAUGUUAUCUUGAACAUCAAGCUAUUGAGAGAUGAUGAGGGUGGGAUUACACUUUUGCAAUCCCAUUAUGUUGAGAAGGCGUUGAGUCGUUUUGGAUAUUCGGACUGCAAACCAUCUCAAACACCAUAUGAUUCUAGUGUGCUGAUUCGAAAGUCUAAAGGCACAGCUAUAGAUCAAUUGAGAUACUCUCAGAUUGUUGGUUCACCACAGUAUCUAGCGAGCGCAACGAGGCCUGACAUCGCAUUUGCUAUUAGCAAACUGAGCCGAUUUGUUUCCAAACCGGGUGAUGUACAUUGGUGUGCUCUUGAGAGAGUUAUGCGCUAUCUGAAAGGUACUAUGAACUAUGGACUUCACUAUACCGGAUACCCGUCGGUACUUGAAGGGUAUAGUGAUGCGAAUUGGAUCUCUGAUGCUGAUGAGAUGAAGGCCACAACUGGGUAUAUAUUUACUCUUGGAGGUGGUGCUGUUUCCUGGAAGUCUUGCAAGCAAACGAUCUUAACAAGAUCGACAAUGGAAGCAGAAUUAACAACAUUAGACACAUCGGGUGGCGAAGCAGAAUGGCUUCGAGAUCUGUUGAUGGACUUGCCAGUGGUUGAGAAGCCGGUUCCGGCCAUCCUUAUGAACUGUGACAAUCAAACAGUUAUUGUCAAGGUGAAGAGUUCAAAGGACAACAUGAAGUCCAACAAACACAUAAGAAUGAGAUUGAAAGCUGUCAGAAAAUUGAGGAACUCCGGAGUGAUAGCGUUGGAUUAUAUUUAA
rnacentral:rRNA from 1 species